rnacentral:rRNA from 1 species
UCGGGACGGGGGUCAGUAACGCGUGAGAAUCUAGCUUCAGGUCGGGGAUAACUACUGGAAACGGUGGCUAAUACCGGAUGUGCCGAAAGGUGAAAGGCUUGCUGCCUGAAGAUGAGCUCGCGUCUGAUUAGCUAGUUGGUGUGGUAAGAGCGCACCAAGGCGUCGAUCAGUAGCUGGUCUGAGAGGAUGAUCAGCCACACUGGGACUGAGACACGGCCCAGACUCCUACGGGAGGCAGCAGUGGGGAAUUUUCCGCAAUGGGCGAAAGCCUGACGGAGCAAUACCGCGUGAGGGAGGAAGGCUCUUGGGUUGUAAACCUCUUUUCUCAGGGAAUAAGAAAGUGAAGGUACCUGAGGAAUAAGCAUCGGCUAACUCCGUGCCAGCAGCCGCGGUAAUACGGAGGAUGCAAGCGUUAUCCGGAAUGAUUGGGCGUAAAGCGUCCGCAGGUGGCGAUGUAAGUCUGCUGUUAAAGAGCAAAGCUUAACUUUGUAAAAGCAGUGGAAACUACAUAGCUAGAGUACGUUCGGGGCAGAGGGAAUUCCUGGUGUAGCGGUGAAAUGCGUAGAGAUCAGGAAGAACACCGGUGGCGAAGGCGCUCUGCUAGGCC